UACGGAGGGAGCUGACGUGUUGGUGAAUUACUGGGCGUAAAGCGCACGUAGGCGGCUUUGUAAGUUAGAGGUGAAAGCCCGGGGCUCAACUCCGGAACUGCCUUUAAGACUGCAUCGCUUGAAUCCAGGAGAGGUGAGUGGGAAUUCCGAGUGUAGAGGUGAAAUUCGUAGAUAUUCGGAAGAACACCAGUGGCGAAGGCGGCUCACUGGACUGGUAUUGACGCUGAGGUGCGAAAGCGUGGGGAGCAACAGG
rnacentral:rRNA from 1 species